UGGGGAAUUUUGGACAAUGGGCGAAAGCCUGAUCCAGCAAUGCCGCGUGUGUGAAGAAGGCCUUCGGGUUGUAAAGCACUUUUGUCCGGAAAGAAAUCCUUGGCUCUAAUACAGUCGGGGGAUGACGGUACCGGAAGAAUAAGCACCGGCUAACUACGUGCCAGCAGCCGCGGUAAUACGUAGGGUGCAAGCGUUAAUCGGAAUUACUGGGCGUAAAGCGUGCGCAGGCGGUUGCUAAGACCGAUGUGAAAUCCCCGGGCUCAACCUGGGAACUGCAUUGGUGACUGGCAGGCUAGAGUAUGGCAGAGGGGGGUAGAAUUCCACGUGUAGCAGUGAAAUGCGUAGAGAUGUGGAGGAAUACCGAUGGCGAAGGCAGCCCCCUGGGCCAAUACUGACGCUCAUGCACGAAAGCGUGGGGAGCAAACAGGAUUAGAUACCCUGGUAGUCCACGCCCUAAACGAUGUCAACUAGUUGUUGGGGAUUCAUUUCCUUAGUAACGUAGCUAACGCGUGAAGUUGACCGCCUGGGGAGUACGGUCGCAAGAUUAAAACUCAAAUGGAAUUGACGGGGUCAUA
rnacentral:rRNA from 1 species